AGAGUUUGAUUAUGGCUCAGGAUGAACGCUGGCGGCGUGCUUAACACAUGCAAGUCGAACGGAGUUUUUAAACGGAAGUUUUCGGAUGGAAGUUUAAGAACUUAGUGGCGGACGGGUGAGUAACGCGUGGGUAACCUGCCUCAUACAGGGGGAUAACAGUUAGAAAUGACUGCUAACACCGCAUAAUAUAGUGAAACCGCAUGAUUUUGCUAUCAAAUAUUUAUAGGUAUGAGAUGGGCCCGCGUCUGAUUAGCUAGUUGGUGGGGUAAAAGCCUACCAAGGCGACGAUCAGUAGCCGGCUUGAGGGAGUGACCGGCCACAUUGGGACUGAGACACGGCCUAAACUCCUACGGGAGGCAGCAGUGGGGAAUAUUGGACAAUGGGGGAAACCCUGAUCCAGCGAACCGCCGCGUGAGUGAAGAAGUAUUUCGGUAUGUAAAGCUCUAUCAGCAGGGAAGAUAAUGACAGUACCUGACUAAGAAGCCCCGGCUAACUACGUGCCAGCAGCCGC
rnacentral:rRNA from 1 species